GGUUGCGGCCAUAUCUACCAGAAAGCACCGUUUCCCGUCCGAUCAACUGUAGUUAAGCUGGUAAGAGUCUGACCGAGUAGUGUAGUGGGUGACCAUACGCGAAACUCAGAUGCUGCAAUCU
rfam:Tetrapisispora phaffii CBS 4417 chromosome 9, complete genome